CCUGGGUUGUCGCCGUCCUCAAGGACGUGCACGCCCAAAGUGCUCUCUCAUAUCCAUCUCACCCCUUUGUGCAUCACCGCGUGAGGCCCUCCUCUUUUGACUUGCUCCGGAGAGGAAGGUUCACGUAUUUACAAGAACAACCCAUUAAUGCAUGUGUAGAAUGUCUUACAUUUUGCGUUCACGCGCAAUCAAUACAACUUUCAACAACGGAUCUCUUGGCUCUCGCAUCGAUGAAGAACGCAGCGAAAUGCGAUACGUAAUGUGAAUUGCAGAAUUCAGUGAAUCAUCGAAUCUUUGAACGCACCUUGCGCCCCUUGGUAUUCCGAGGGGUGCACCCGUUUGAGUGUCGUGAAUACCCUCAACCUUCUUGGUUUAUUGACCGGGAAGGCUUGGACUUUGGAGGUUUCUGUUGCUGGCCUCNUUCGAAGCCAGCUCCUCCUAAAUUGGAUUAGUGGGGUCUGUUGUGCCGAUCCUCGACGUGAUAAGUACGCUUCUACGUCUCGGUG
rnacentral:rRNA from 1 species